rnacentral:tRNA from 2 species
UUUGUCUUAGUAUAAAAAUUACAGUAGCUUUUCGUGCUAUAAAUAGUCAUCUUACUGACUAGACAAGG